CUGAGGCUGAGAGAAGUGAAGUGAAAGGGUUCAAGUUCUAGGAGGAACUCUCCACUUGGAGGAGAACUUUCCAGGAUGAGAAGACUAUAUGGAAUAGAGAAGUGAAAAGGGGAGUUGAUGAGAGCAAGAUGCAUAAGAAACUGUAACUAAAUGGAGGCUACCUGAUUCUUCAUGGAGAAAAAAAAAAUAAAGAAAUUGGUCAAGUUAGUUUCAUCAUUUACUUGAAGGCAUCAAGAUACAUCAUUUCAUGGUCUAUUCAGUCAUUUGCCUUGCAUUGCUCAUAAUGAACAUGAGCCAGAAGACUACCCUGAAAAUAGCAACAGACAACAUUUGUUGUAGAAGGUGAGGAGGUAGAGGAAUUCUAUAAGGAACUUGGCAAAAAUCCUCCAAACCACGUUAAAAUGCUUACACUGAUAUAUAAUGAAUUGAGAGUGAAGAUCAGUACAAGGAAGAACAGUGAAAGCUAUGUUGGAAAUUAUGUUUCAAGAUUAAAAACAAGAAGACAAAUCAUAUACUUUAUCUCUCUAUAUUAGUGGUUCUCAAACUUUUUGGUUUCAGAACAUUUUAACAUUCCUCAAAAUUAUUGUAGACCCCAAGGAGCUUUUGAUUAU